GUGCUCACUUUGGCACCACAUAUACUAAAAUUGGAAUGGUAGGAGAAAAUUAGCAUGGCCCCUGUGUAAGAGUGACAUGCAAAUUUGUAAAGUGUUCCUUUUUUUA